rnacentral:rRNA from 1 species
CAGCCGCCGCGGUAACACGGAGGGUGCAAGCGUUAAUCGGAAUUACUGGGCGUAAAGCGUGCGUAGGCGGUUCGUUAAGUCUGUUGUGAAAGCCCCGGGCUCAACCUGGGAAUGGCAAUGGAUACUGGCGAGCUAGAGUGUGUCAGAGGAUGGUGGAAUUCCCGGUGUAGCGGUGAAAUGCGUAGAGAUCGGGAGGAACAUCAGUGGCGAAGGCGGCCAUCUGGGACAACACUGACGCUGAGGCACGAAAGCGUGGGGAGCAAACAGGAUUAGAUACCCCGGUAGUCCCUGUCUCUUAUAA